rnacentral:rRNA from 1 species
CCUACGGGAGGCAGCAGUGGGGAAUAUUGGACAAUGGGGGCAACCCUGAUCCAGCCAUGCCGCGUGUGUGAAGAAGGCCCUCGGGUUGUAAAGCACUUUCAGUGAGGAAGAACGCCUGGUGGUUAAUACCCAUCAGGAAAGACAUCACCCACAGAAGAAGCACCGGCUAACUCCGUGCCAGCAGCCGCGGUAAUACGGAGGGUGCGAGCGUUAAUCGGAAUUACUGGGCGUAAAGCGCGCGUAGGUGGCUUGAUAAGCCGGUUGUGAAAGCCCCGGGCUCAACCUGGGAACGGCAUCCGGAACUGUCAAGCUAGAGUGCAGGAGAGGAAGGUAGAAUUCCCGGUGUAGCGGUGAAAUGCGUAGAGAUCGGGAGGAAUACCAGUGGCGAAGGCGGCCUUCUGGACUGACACUGACACUGAGGUGCGAAAGCGUGGGUAGCAAACAGGAUUAGAUACCCUGGUAGUC